rnacentral:rRNA from 1 species
AGCAGCCGCGGUAAUUCCAGCUCCAAUAGCGUAUAUUAAAGUUGUUGCAGUUAAAAAGCUCGUAGUUGAAUUUCGGGGUCAGUAGAUUGGUCGUGCCACUGGUAUGUACUGGUCUUACUGGCUCCUCCUUCCUGAUGAACCGUAAUGCCAUUAAUUUGGUGUUAUAGGGAAUCAGGACUGUUACUUUGAAAAAAUUAGAGUGUUUAAAGCAGGCUCACGCUUGAAUACAUUAGCGUGGAAUAACGGAAUAGGACGUUUGAUUCUAUUUUGUUGGUUUCUAGGAUCGACGUAAUGAUUAGUAGGGAUAGUUGGGGGCAUUAGUAUUCAAUUGUCAGAGGUGAAAUUCUUGGAUUUAG